GUGCUGUGUAUGAUGUGUGUGAGAGUGCUGAGUGUGAGAGUGCUGUGUAUGAUGUGUGUGAGAGUGCUGUGUAUGAUGUGUGUGAGAGUGCUGUGUAUGAUGUGUGUGAGAGUGCUGAGUGUGAUGAGUGUGAGAGUGCUGUGUAUGAUGUGUGUGAGAGUGCUGUGUAUAAUGUGUGUGAGAGUGCUGAGUGUGAUGAGUGUGAUAGUGCAGAGUGUGAUGUGUGUGAGAGUGCUGUGUAUG